rnacentral:rRNA from 1 species
UACAGAGGUCUCAAGCGUUGUUCGGAUUCAUUGGGCGUAAAGGGUGCGUAGGUGGCGAUGCAAGUCUGGUGUGAAAUCUUGGGGCUCAACCUCAAAAUUGCACCGGAUACUGCGUUGCUCGAGGAUUGUAGAGGAGAGUGGAAUUCAUGGUGUAGCAGUGAAAUGCGUAGAUAUCAUGAGGAAGACCAGUUGCGAAGGCGACUCUCUGGGCAACUCCUGACACUGAGGCACGAAGGCCAGGGGAGCAAACGGG